GAUCUAUUGGCUGCCGGCUUUGUAAAUUUCAUUCAGUUUGGUCCAAUAGCAGAGGGAGAGCUCUGAGACAGCAGGACCUGGUUUCUCAGUCUCCCUUUUCCCCUCAAACCCUGUCUUUCUCCCUGUCUCCAUCUCCGGGUACUGAGCUCCUAUGCAGUCUCCAGCUCUGUGCCUCCUGCCCCAAUUCUGAUUUUAUUUUUCUUCUUCCUUUUUCUUGCUGGCCACUGACUUUCCAGAGCAGAAACGAGGAAUUCCCUCCGGAUUUCGGUGUCAUCUGUGGUCCUCACAUUCCUUUGGAUAAGCAGACCUUGCUGGUGUGUGCACAUCCUCCUGAAUCAUACUCCUGGAAAAAUCUGGAGAAGUGAAGAGAACUCUCGCUGCCAAUGUAACCAUGGACCGCCAAGGUUGUUUCUUAACCAACUACCCCGGGGCAAGUUGGAAUGGCUGUGAAGAUCUCCAUGAAUCCCCAAGUCUGCAGCAGUAAAGAUGAAAUUACAUGGAGAAGCUUAUUUGAAACAUUAUCAUAGUGUGGAAUAGUUCUUUCUUAGCUUCCACUUCGAUUCCUCAAGAGGGAGCAAUGUGCUGAGAUGGAAAAAGUAACCAAGUAGCUAUCCCUGGAGUGGUUGGAAAAGGCGCUGUGUCUUCAGGACUACGGAAUGAGACUCCAGAGGGUUCCCUGCUCC
ensembl:lncRNA